UUCGCAAUGCCCGAAAGGGUGACGAAGCGACGCCGCGUGCGGGAAGAAGGCCUUCGGGUUGUAAACCGCUGUCGGGAGUUAGGAAGUGCAAGGAUGUUAAUAGCGUUCUUGCUUGACUAAGGCUCCGGAGGAAGCCACGGCUAACUCUGUGCCAGCAGCCGCGGUAUACAGAGGCGGCAAGCGUUGUUCGGAAUUAUUGGGCGUAAAGAGCACGUAGGCGGCUGUGUAAGUCGGUUGUGAAAGCCUUCCGCUUAACGGAAGAACGGCAUCCGAUACUGCAUAGCUUGAGUGCGGGAGGGGAGAGUGGAACUUCUGGUGGAGCGGUGAAAUGCGUAGAUAUCAGAAGGAACACCGGCGGCGAAGGCGACUCUCUGGUCCGUAACUGACGCUGAGUGUGCGAAAGCUAGGGGAGCAAACGGGAUUAGAUACCCCGGUAGUCCUAGCCGUAAACGAUGGGCACUAAGUAGAGGGGUU
rnacentral:rRNA from 1 species